rnacentral:rRNA from 1 species
UACGGAGGGUGCGAGCGUUGUCCGGAAUCACUGGGCGUAAAGGGCGCGUAGGCGGCCUGAUAAGUAGGGGGUGAAAUCCUGCGGCUUAACCGCAGGGCUGCCUUCUAAACUGUCAGGCUAGAGCACAGUAGAGGCAGGUGGAAUUCCCGGUGUAGCGGUGAAAUGCGUAGAUAUCGGGAGGAAUACCGGUGGCGAAGGCGGCCUUCUGGACGAUGACUGACGCUGAGACGCGAAAGCGUGGGGAGCAAACAGG